CAAGGAACGAAGCGGCCCAUCUGGUUUGUGUUCUCUGGAAUGGGAUCUCAAUGGUGCGGGAUGGUCGGUGACUUGAUGAAAUUUCCUACCUUUGCUGCUGCCAUUGAUAAAUGCCACAAUAUUCUGCAAACUAAAGGCAUCGACUUAAAGCACAUUAUUUCAACAUCAGACAAAACUGUUUAACAAUAUUCUGCAUUCAUUUGUGGGGAUCGCUGCCAUUCAGAUUGGACCAACAGAUAUCCUCAAAGCUGUGGGUAUAGUUCCCUCAAAGCUGUGGGUAUAGUCCAAGUUUCAGCUAAAAAUACUAGAUUAUACUUUUUUUACUAAAAUUGGGUCUGUUCCACUACAUGGAAUGGUUCAAAAGGGAUCUGGCGAAUUUGAAAUCUCUUCAAACAAGGAUAUUAUUGUUACCGGAAAGAUGACUUUCCCACAAGCAAACGAAAAAUUCAUGGUAGAGCCAAACAACAUAAAAAUUGAUGGAGAUCACGUUAAACUUUUGGGAAGUGAUGU
rnacentral:lncRNA from 1 species